CCCUCAUCCUUAUCCCAUAAGUCAUUUUCUUCAAUAGAGUUCAAGAAGAGAGAAGAAGAAAAAGAAACCUUGAGCUAGAGAGGGAGAAGGCCACGGAUUUGGAGAGAAAAAAGGUGAGUUCCUCGAUUUUGUUCCGUGAAUUAAUUAUCUAGGGUGCACCACGAUGAUAUGGGGGUAUUGAUAGUAUAAAAUCAUGGCUUGGUGCAACCCAAAACGGACAGCAAGCAGUCCACGCAAUUUCAGCGUGUCUAGAGAAGUUCCGAGGCGAGUUUUGGCCAAUUUCGGGAAAGGUUAAGGAGGUAUCAAGGCAAGCCAGAUUUCAAUUAAUCUCGAAAAAGGUAUGUAAAGCUAUCUUCUUUUCUUUUGGCAUGUCUUAGCCUUAAGUGAUUGAUAUACGAAAUGUGGGGAUAAUUCCAUUCAUAGAACUCCAAGUAUGACUCAUAAGUCUUAUUCACUUCUCGAUGGUAGAAUUCCUAUACUAGUUGAGUUAUUGCCUCUCAAGGCUUCUAUACGAUGGAGAGUAGUAAGUUUGUGAAGCUUCCUUCCUUCUCUUGACAUGUUUUUGGCAUAAGUAAGUAAAGCUACCCUUCUUCUAUCUUGAUAUGUCUUUGACAUAAGUUAUGAUGUUAUGAUGAAAUAUUUAUGGUACCGAGUCCCGUGAUGGGCCAAGUUUGAUAUAUGUUAUUAUCUAAGGAUCGGGUCGUACGUUCCACAGCACAUAUGUAUAUGAUGACUCCAUAAGGGAAAAUAAGAGAGUAUGUAAAGCCUUCCCUUCUUUCUUUCGGCAUGGCUUAGUAUUAAGUAAGGAUUAAUAUGAGCCUUGAGGGUGAUUCAUGAUUUCUCUUCUAAGAGAUUCUCCGGUAGUUAAUGUCCUUGACUUUUAUAAGUUAUUUUGUAUCGUCUUGAUUCAUGCCUAUGGUUUCUAAGGCUCUUUUGAUAUGAUCAAUAGUAAUAUUUGAGGAAUGAGUGAUAUGACUAUCGUCUUGAUUUUCAAAUGACAAUUCGUUGUUACUACUUCAUUGAGUCUUGGACAAUGUUUUAAAUUGCAUAUGGUUACUCACUACUCUACUCGUGUAUACUGUAACCCUUCUAUCACCGAGUUCCGGACCGAGUAUGUAAUCGUGCGCAGUUCACUACAUUAUCCACCGAGUCCCUCACUAAAGGGCCGGGUACGCUAUAUGAGGAAAUGAUAAUGCAAUGACAUGAAUGACUCACCGAUUCCCUCACUAGAGGGACGGGUACGUAUGUAUAUAUAUAUAUGAUGAUGAUGUGAUGUGAUAAGGUGAUGGUGGCGCCCGACCCUAUGAUGGUCCUACAGUUAUGAUUCACCGAGCCCCUGAAAGGGCCGGCUAUAUUGUAUAGUAUGAGCAUGCAUGUUCUUAUGUUUCACGAGGUACAGGUACAGAGGUUUCUUAUAUGAUAUUUUAUUCCCCUGUUUCUCUGUUUUAGAUAUGCUUCCAGUUAUGCUAUGUUAUGUUUUACCUACCUAGUACAUAUGUCGUACUGACCCCCUUUCUUCGGGGGGGGGGGGGAGGGGGGCUGCGUUCAUGCCCGCAGGUACAUAUACACACUCGGGGAUCGGGGAAUCCGCCAGCGUAGGAGUCCCACUCAGCGGUCCAGAGGUGCUCCAUUGUGCCAGAGCCUAGUUUUGGUAUUAACCCUCGAUGUAUACAUUUAUUUGUUCAUGGGUACGGCGGGGGCCCUGUCCCGCCUUAUGUUACUGUUCUUACUCUUAGAGGUCUGUAGACAUGUAUGUGGGUUGUAUAUGUAUGCGUGUAAGGUUAUGCCUAUAUGUUAUGAUAGCCUUGUCGGCUUA